AUGGGAAUCACUAUAGACCGACAAGCAAAAAAUUAUGAGGUGCACGAGUUAGUUGUUGAACACAACCAUGUCUUGCAGUUACCUGGGACAAGCCACAUGAUGCCAUCACAACGGAAGAUUUCGGCCUUGCAAGCAUUUGAAAUUGAAACAGCGGAUGAUUCUGGAAUUGUACCUAAAAGAGCCCAUGAGUUAGCAAGUCGACAAGUUGGUGGUCCACUGAACCUUGGCUACACAUGUCGUGAUCGCAAGAAUCACUUGCGAACCAGGCGUCAAAGGGACUUGGUGUAUGGUGAAGCCGCAAGUAUGCUUAAGUACUUUAGAGAUAAAAAGAAUGAGAAUCCUGCAUUUGAAUAUGAUAUGCAACUAGAUUGCAAUGAACAAAUAGCGAAUAUCUUUUGGGCUGAUGCAAAGAUGAUCAUUGACUAUGCUCAUUUCGGUGAUGUUGUUACUUUCGAUACAACAUUUGGGACAAACAAAGAGUACAGACCCUUCGAUGUGUUUGUUGGAUUCAACCAUUUUAGAGAAAUGGUCAUUUUUGGUGCUGCACUUUUAUAUGAUGAGACAUUUGAAUCAUUCAAAUGGUUGUUCAACACGUUCCUAUCAUUGCAUAACAAGAAGCUGAAGGAAAUAUGCCCUAGAGGCAAUAAUAAAGUUAUUAUUUAUUUCCUUAUAUCAUGA
rnacentral:rRNA from 1 species